rnacentral:rRNA from 1 species
GGGUUGUGAGGUUAAGCGACUAAGCGUACACGGUGGAUGCCCUGGCAGUCAGAGGCGAUGAAGGACGUGCUAAUCUGCGAUAAGCGUCGGUAAGGUGAUAUGAACCGUUAUAACCGGCGAUUUCCGAAUGGGGAAACCCAGUGUGAUUCGUCACACUAUCAUUAACUGAAUCCAUAGGUUAAUGAGGCGAACCGGGGGAACUGAAACAUCUAAGUACCCCGAGGAAAAGAAAUCAACCGAGAUUCCCCCAGUAGCGGCGAGCGAACGGGGAGCAGCCCAGAGCCUGAAUCAGUGUGUGUGUUAGUGGAAGCGUCUGGAAAGGCGCGCGAUACAGGGUGACAGCCCCGUACACAAAAAUGCACAUAUUGUGAGCUCGA